rnacentral:rRNA from 1 species
AGCGAACGCUGGCGGCAGGCCUAACACAUGCAAGUCGAACGAACUCUUCGGAGUUAGUGGCGGACGGGUGAGUAACACGUGGGAACGUGCCUUUAGGUUCGGAAUAACUCAGGGAAACUUGUGCUAAUACCGAAUGUGCCCUUCGGGGAAAGAUUUAUCGCCUUUAGAGCGGCCCGCGUCUGAUUAGCUAGUUGGUGAGGUAAAGGCUCACCAAGGCGACGAUCAGUAGCUGGUCUGAGAGGAUGAUCAGCCACAUUGGGACUGAGACACGGCCCAAACUCCUACGGGAGGCAGCAGUGGGGAAUCUUGCGCAAUGGGCGGAAGCCUGACGCAGCCAUGCCGCGUGAAUGAUGAAGGUCUUAGGAUUGUAAAAUUCUUUCACCGGGGACGAUAAUGACGGUACCCGGAGAAGAAGCCCCGGCUAACUUCGUGCCAGCAGCCGCGGUAAU